AUUAUCACUGGAUCUGUAGAGGGGAUUUUGUCACACACUGGUUUUCAUUUUAUAAGAGAAAGCACAGAAGGUGGUUGUUGUUGUUGGUGGAUACAUUGGCAUGGAGAUUGCUGCCGCAGCUGUUGGUUGGAAACUUGAUACAACGAUGGCAGGAAUUUCUGUUGUGGGUCAAAAUUAUUAUGGUGUGUUCCCGAUGUUUCCUUAUUUUGCUGUGGGUCAAAAAUAAGUAGUGAAAUUUAAGUAAUUUCUGUUGUGGGUCGAAAAUAUAAGUAAUUGUGAGCAUUCUUCUCAUCCAUUGUUUCCUUAUUUUGCUGAAAUUUUGUUACUUCAAGUAGUGAAAAUUUUCACCAUUAAAAUGUUU